rnacentral:lncRNA from 1 species
GCUCUUUAUAUUUCCUGGUUAUUAAUUUUUUUUGUUGGAUAGGUAGUUUAAAAAUAUUUUCUCCAAUUUUGUGGGUUAUCUCUUCACUUUGUCGAUUGUAUCCUUUGCUAUAAAGAAGCUUUUUAACUUGUGACCCCAUUUGUCCAUUUUUUUUCCCUCAUAAUUGCUUGAGCUUGCAGGGUAUAGCUCAAGAGAUGUUUGCCCAGACCUAUGUCCUAGAGAAGUUCCCCAAUGUGUUCUUAUGCUAGUUUCAUAGGUUUAGAUCUUACAUUUAAGGCUUUAAUCCAUUUUAUUUUGAUUUUUUCUUACGGCAAGAGAUGUGGGACUGGUUUUAUUCCUUUGCAUGUGCAUAUCCAGUUUCUUGGCACUAUUUAUUUAAGAGACUGUAUUUUCCCUAGUGUAUGUUCUUGGCACCUUUGUUGAAAAUUAGUAUUCUGUAGGUAUGAAGAUUUGCUUCUCAAGUCUCUAUUUUGUUCCAUUGGUCUAUGUGUCCAUGUUUAUACCAGUGCAAUGGUGUUUUAGCUAGUAUAAUUCUGUAGCAUAAUUUAAAGUUAGGUAAUGCUGUUCCUCCAGUUUUGUUCUUUCUGCUUAGGAUGGCUUUGGUUAUUCUGGGUCUUUGUAGUUCCAACUAAAUUUUUGGAUUUUUAAGAUUCUACUUCUGUGAAGAAUGUUGUUGGUAUUUCUAUAGGGAUUGCAUUAACUGUUUGGAUUGCUUUGGGUAGUAUGAAGAUUUUAACAAUAUUAAUUCUUCCAAACCAUGAACAUGAAAUAUUUUUCCAUUUUUUUGUGUCCUUUUCAAUUUUUUUUAUCAAUGUUUUGUACCUUUUAUUAUAGAGAUACUUUAUAACUCUGGGAAAGUUAAUUCCUAGGUAUUUAAUUUUAUGUGUGGCUAUUGUAAAUGGGAUUACUUUUUAUUUCUUUUCACAUUGUUCAUUGUUGGCAUAUAGAAAUGCUACUGAUUUUGCAUGUUGAUUUUGUAUCUGACAACUUUACUGAAUUUGUUUACCAUUUCUCAUAGUUUACUUGUCAAGUGUUUAGGUUUUACUACAUAUAAAAUCACAUUAUCAGAAAAUAAAAAUAACUUGACUUCUUUAAAAUCUGAGUACCCUUUAUAUUUUUCUCUUGUCUUGUUGCUCUGGCUAAAACUGACAGUACUAAGUUGAAUAACAGUGGUAACAGUGGGAACUCUUGUUAUGUCCCGGAUCUUAGUAUAAUACAAGCUGUGGAUCUGUCAUAUAUGGCUUUUAUGUUGAGGUAUGUUCCUUCAAUCUCUAAUGUCUUUGAGGAUUUUUAUCAUGAAUAUGUUUAUUUUAUAAAAUGCUUCUUUAGUAUCAAUUGAAAUGAUCAUACGCUUUUUACUCUUUACUCUGUUAAUAUGAUGUAUCAUGUUGAUUGAUUUGUGUACAUUGAGCUGUCCUUGUAUCACUGGAAUAAAUACCACUUGGUCUUGACAAAUGAUUUUUCUAAUAUAUUGUUGUAUUUGGUUUCCUAGUGUUUUGUUGAGAAUUUUUGCAUCAAUAUUUAUUAGAGGUAUUGCCCCAUGGUUUUUUAUUUUUGAUGUGUCAUUGUCUGUUUCUGUGUUAGCAUAAUACUGGUGUUGAGGAAUUAGUUUGAAAGUAUUUCCUUCUUCUCUAUUUUUCAGAAUAGUGUGAACAGAAUUGGUAUUAGUUCUUCAUUAAAUGUUCAGUGAAAUUUAGCAGUGAAGCUACCAGGACCCGAGCUUUUUUUACUGGAAUAUUUUUUUUUUAUUAUGGCUUCAAUCGCACCAUUUAUUAUUAGUCCAUUUAGAUUUAAAAUUUCUUACUAAGUCAAUAUUGUUAACUUUGAAUGUAUCUAGCAAUUUGUCAGUUUCUUCCAGAUUUUUGAAUUUAUUAAUAUAUACUUGCUUAUACUACUCACUAAUAAUGCUUUGAAUUUCUAUAGUAUCAGUUGUAAUUCAUUCUUUUAUAUAUAGCUGGUGCUAUUUACUUUGAACUCUUUUUUCCUUAGUCUGACUAAAGGUUUUUCAAUCUUAAACUAAAAACUUUGUAUUUAUCUUUUUCAUUGCUUUCUAUUUUCAUUUUUAUUUAUUUAUUUGUGUUCUAAUCUUUAUCACUUUAUUUCUUCUUCUAAUUUUGGCUUAGAUUUGCUAUGCUUUCCUAGUAUUUCAAGAUGUAUCAUCAGAUUAUUUGAAGUGUUUUUGUUUUUUGAUGUAGGUGCUCAUAGUAAUAAACUUUCCUCUGAGUACUGCUUUUGCUGAAUCUCACAGGGUUUGGUAGAUUGUGUUUUCAUUAUCAUUUGUUUCAAAAAAGUUUUCAAUCUUCUUCUGAAUCUCUUCAUUGACCCACCUGUCAUUUAGAAGCAUAUUAUUUAAUUUUCAGUUAUUUGUAUAGUUUCAAAAAAUUACUUGUUAUUAAUUUCUAGUUUUAUUCCAUUGAUGAGAAGAUGCUUCAUAUAAUUUCAAUUUUUUAAAAUGUUUUGAGACAUGAUUUGCUACCUAAGGUAUAGUCUAUCCUUGAGAAUGAUCCAUGUGCUGAGUAAAAGGAUAUAUAUUCUGAAGCUCUUAGAUAAAAUUAUCUCUAAAUAACUAUUAAAUUUAUUUGGUCUAUAGUGGAGAUUAAUUAUGACUUUUUUGUGUUGUUGAUUUUCUGUCUGGAAAAUCUAUCUAAUCUUAACAGUGGGGGGCUGAGGUCUCCAGCUAUUAUUGUAUUGGACCCUAUUUCUCUCUGUGGCUGUAAUGUAUGUAUUAUAUAUCUCUUUGCUCCAGUGUUGGGUUCAUAUAUCUUUAAAAUUGUUGUAUCUUCUUGCUGAACUUACUCCUUUAUUAUUACAUAGUGAGCUUCUUUGUCUCAUAUAGUCUGGUCUUGAAAUUUAUUUUGUCUGGUAAAAGUAAGUGAUUCUUGGACCUUUCUUGUUUCCAAUGACAUGAAAUAUAUUUUCACAUCACUUUAUUUUCAGGCUAUGUGUAUUUUUAUAGGCAAAGUGUAUUUCUUAUAGGCAACUGGCGAGUGUCUUAUUUUUUCAUACAUUCAGCCAGUCUAUUUUAAUUGGAUAGUUGAGUCCACUUACGUUCAAUGAUAUUAUUGAUUAUUAUGAACUUAUACCCUGCCAUUUUGUGGUUUGUUUUCUGGGUUUUUGUAUGUGUGUGUGUGUGUGUGUGUGUGUGUGUGUGUGUGUGUGUGUGUGUGUGUGGUCUUUUUCUCCUUUUUUCUUUUAUUGCUGUCUUUCUCUAGCGAAGAUAAGAGUCUCUGGUGAUAUGAUUUAAUUUUCUGCUUUUCAUUUUUUGCAUUUUUAAAAUAUUUUUUUGUUUGAGGUUACCAUGAGACUUGCAAAUGCUAUCUUAUAGCCCAUUAUUUCAACCUGAUAUCACUAUUUGCAUAAACUAACAAGCAAAAAGAAAACUAAUAAAAACUCAGAUUAACUUCAGCUUCCACCCAACUUUUCUUACUUGUUACUUCUAUUUAUAUUUUACUCUACUGUGUCCUAAAAUGUUGUGAUUAUUACUUUUUUUUUAUUGCUUAGUUUUUCCACUUAGGAUAACAGUAGUUUACACACUGUAGUUAGAGUGUUAUUAUAUCCUGUGUUUUCCUCCAUACUUAUUUUUAUCCAUAAGUUUUGUACCUUCAGGUGAUUGUUGAUUGUUCCUUAACACUUUUUUCUUUCUGACUGAAGUACUCCCUUUAGGUUUGCUUGUAGAAUGCAUCUGGUAUUCAUGAAAUCCCAUAGCUUUUGUUUGCUGAAAAAGUCUUUACAUCUUCUUUAUAUGUGAAAGAUAUUUUCACCAGCUAUACUAUUCUAGGAUAAAAAUGGAUUCAUUUGUCCUUUUUUUUCUUUCAGCACUUCAAAUAUGUCAUGACAUUCUUUCUUGUUCUGCAAAGUUUCCACUAACAAGUCUGCUGCCAGACAUGUUGGAGCACCAUUGUAGGUUUUUUUUUGUUUUUUUUUUUUUCUCUCUUGCUGCUUUUAAGAUCCUUUAUCCUUGACCUUUAGGAGUUUGAUUAUUAAAUUCCCUGAAGUAGUCUUAUUUGGGUUAAGUCGUCUUGGUGUCUAUAACCUUCUUGUAUUUGAAUGUUGAUUUCUUCCUGUAGGUUUGCAAUAGUUUUCUGUUACUAUUCCUUUGUAUAAACUUUCUACCCCUAUCUUUUUCUCUACCUCCUCUUUAAGGCCAAUAACUCCAGAGGCUACUUUCUAGAUGCUGUAGGCAUGCUUUAUUAUUUUCUUUUUUUUCUCUGACUGUAUAUUUUCUGUUUGCCUAUCUUCAAGCUCACUAAGUCUUUCUUCUGUUUCAUCCAUUAUAUUAAUACAUCUCUGAUGUAUUCUUCUGUAUGCCAAUUUUAUCUUUUAGCUCUGGAAUUUCUGCUUAAUUAUUUUAAUACCCCAUUAUUCUCAUGGAAUUCUGAAUUUAUUCUCCGUGUUAUAUCAAAUUUCUUUGCGUUUCAACACUGGUCUUCAAAUUCUCUGUCUGAAAUGUCAUGUACUUCUGUUCCUCCAGGAUUGAUCCCCAGUACCUUAUUGAGUUCAUUUAGUUGGGCCACAUUUUCCUGAAUGGUACUGAUGCUACUAGAUAUUCUAAGGUGCCUGGGUAUUGAAGAGCUAGGUAUCUAUUGCCAUCUUUACUAUAUGGGCUUAUUUAUAGUCUUCUUUUCUGAGAUGCCUUUCCAGAUAUUGGAAAAGACUUGGAUGUUGUGAUCUACACUGUGUUUGCUUUAGGAAGUACCACAAGCCCCCAAACUCUGUGGCUCUUCUGGAGUUGUUAGACGUACUGCCUUAACAGUCUUGGACAGAAUCUGGGAGACUUAUCUGGAUUACCAGACAGACAAUUUUUUUCUCUUUACUUAGUUUCUCCCAAACAUACAGAGUCUCUCCCUAUGUUCUGAGUCAUCUAAAGCUAGUCAUGGAGUGACACAAGUACCCCUGUGGCCACCAUCACUGUGAUUAUGCUGGGUCAGAACUGAAGCCAGCACAGUGCUGGGUCUCACCCAAGGCCUGCUAUAACCACUCCCUGGUUACUGCCUAUGUUAAUUCAAGGGCUUGGGGCUCCACAAUUAGCAGGUAGCAAAGGCAGGCCUUUGUUCUUCCAUUUAGGGCAGAGGUUCCCCAGAUCCCAUGUGUGUCAGAAGUGCCAUCGUGGAGUCAGGGCUGGAUUCAAAAACCUUAGAAGUCUAGUUGGUACUCUACGGUAUUGAGGCUGCCACCCAAACCACAAGUUGCAGUUGUUUCCACUCUUCCCUCUACUUUCCAAAGGCAGAAAUUUCUUAUCCCUUAGUUACCACUACUACCCUGCCAAAAGGACUACUGCCAGACUACCACAGAUGUUUUCUUCAGGCUUGAGGUCUUUUAGGUUAGCUUUUGGUGAAUGCUGCCUGGCACAGGAUUCACCCUUCAGGGCAGUGGGCCUCUUUCUGGGUCAGGGAAGGUCCAGAAAUGCCAUCCAAGAGUCAAGUCUUGGAAUCAGGUACUCUAAGAGCUCACUUUGUGCUUAGCACCUGUGGCAGUGUUGGUAUCUAAAAUGCAAGACGUCAAAGUCCCCUUUAAGUUUCUCUCCACUUUUCUAGAGUAGAAGUUGUUUUGCCCCAUUGCCACUACAGUCUACAGUUGGUUAUGUGCUACAUUUCUCCUGAAGCUAGCAAGUCUCAGAGCAUCACUCAAGGCCCUUAAUGUAGUACCUGGGUAUCACUGCUGUUCAUUCAGAGCCCAAGGUUUCUUCAGUGAGCAGGCAAUAAAUGUUGACUGGACUGAGUCCUUUCCUUCAAGGCAUCAGGUUCCCUUCCGGCCCAGAGUGUGUCAAGAAAUGCCAUCUGGGAGGUAAGACCAAAAAUGGCAGGCUCAAAACUCUGUACGGUACCUUAACCUGCUGUGGCUGAACUGGUGUGCUAAGUGCAAAACAAAGUCUUUUGUAUCCUUUCAUGCUCUCCCCUUAAGUGAAGGAUAGGAGCCUUUUUUGGAGCCAUGAGCUAAAAAGCUUGGGGUUAGCACAGAGGUGAUGCCAGGACUCUCUUUUCUGCCUUAGCUGGUGCCUCUUGUUCCAGUCAACUCCACUGUUUCUGGGCCUACUUCAGCAACAGGACUUACUUAAGAGAUGCAGUGGCUUAGAAUACUAUUCAAGUUUACUUAGAUACCAAGAGCAUUUUGGCCCUCUAUGGAGAGGUUUGUGGGCAGUCAAGUUCAGACCACUAGGACUGGAGAUUCUCUUGUAGCUAGGGAUGGUUUCAAUGCUCCUUCUGUGGGUGGGCAUCAGCUGACUUUGUUCUGAUUUUCUUCUCUCCUUUAAUAGGACAGCACUAAGUUCACUGCCUUGCAAUUACUGUGUUGUUUCUACAUCAGUGCCCACAGAUACUUUCUGCCUACACAGUUGCUACCAGGGAUUAGGGAGAGGUGGCUUUGGUGAUUCAGGGAUGGUUUUGUUGUUCUUGCUUGUUUGUUUUUUGUUUUUGUUUCAAAUCUUCAGUGCCUCUUUCAGUGAUAUGAAGUUAAAAUCAGUUACUGUAAGUGAUCACCUGAUUUUUUGGUUCUUACGAAGGUGUGUAGUUUUUUGUUUGUUUUUCUUUUAUGUGUAGAUAAUUGGUAACUUGAUGUUCUUGGGGUGAGGGGGAGGGCUGUAAUCAGUGGAGCUUUCUAUUUCCACCAUUUUGUUUCUUUUCUCUCCAAAUUUUUAUUUAUUGAUUGAACUUUAAAUUUUGUAUAUGCAUAGUUUUCCAAUAUUUUUAUUUGUUCCUGCAUUUUUG